rnacentral:misc_RNA from 1 species
ACCCACGACUAUGACGUGAAGAUGCGCAACGUGAUCAAGUUUCUGGAAAACGGCGACAAGGUGAAAGUCACCCUGCGCUUUCGUGGCCGCGAAAUGGCACACCAGAACCUUGGUCGUGAACUGCUGCAACGCGUGGCCGAAGACAUCAAGGAACUCGGCAAGGUCGAGAAUAUGCCAAAGAUGGAAGGCCGUCAGAUGAUCAUGAUGAUCGGCCCGCUUCCGACGAAGUAAUGCGCAUCGACCGCUCUUGAGCCGGUUGAACGAAAAUCCGAAUAAAAAGCCUCCCCCCGAGAUUUUGGGGGA